rnacentral:sRNA from 1 species
CAAACCCUGUUUUGCACGAGACCUUUGUCAAUUUCGUUGAGCCAACACAAAAAAAUGGGGAAUUCGGAGUUCAGGCAGGGUAGUAACCGUGGUGACGGGACGCUCAGUCAUGCCUGACAGAGUACCCACUUAUGAAACGGGCUCCAAUAGAAAUGCAAUGACGGCAAAAACAGGGUUUUU